UACGAAGGGGGCUAGCGUUGCUCGGAAUUACUGGGCGUACAGCGCGCGUAGGCGGGUCGUUAAGUCGGGGGUGAAAUCCUGGAGCUCAACUCCAGAACUGCCUUCGAUACUGGCGAUCUUGAGUCCGGGAGAGGUGAGUGGAACUCCGAGUGUAGAGGUGAAAUUCGUAGAUAUUCGGAAGAACACCAGUGGCGAAGGCGGCUCACUGGCCCGGUACGGACGCUGAGGUGCGAAAGCGUGGGGAGCAAACAGG
rnacentral:rRNA from 1 species